CUACUGAUGAGGAGUCCCAAACUAGGACGAAAUUGCUGUCCAGUAC
rfam:Trichobilharzia regenti genome assembly, scaffold: TRE_scaffold0006136